CUGGUGUCAGCCGCCGCGGUAAUACCAGCUCUCCGAGUAGUGUGGAUGUUUAUUGGGCCUAAAGCAUCCGUAGCUUGCUAGGCAAGUCCCCUGUUAAAUCCACCGAUUCAAUCGAUGGUUUGCGGGGGAUACUGUUUGGCUAGGGGACGGGAGAGGUCGACGGUAUUUCCGGGGUAGGGGUGAAAUCCUAUAAUCCCGGGAGGACCACCAGUGGCGAAGGCUGUCGACUAGAACGCGCCCGACGGUGAGGGAUGAAAGCUGGGGGAGCGAACCGGAUUAGAUACCCGGGUAGUCCCAGCUGUAAACGAUGCAGGUAGGUGGUUUGGGCGGCCACGAGCCGCCCUAGUGCCGCAGGGAAGCUGUUAAGCCUGCCGCCUGGGGAGUACGGCCGCAAGGCUGAAACUUAAAGGAAUUGGCGGGGGAGCACCACAAGGGGUGAAGCUUGCGGUUUAAUUGGAGUCAACGCCGGAAAUCUCACCGGGAGCGACAGCAGUAUGAAGGCCAGAUUAAAGGUCUUGCUAGACGAGCU
rnacentral:rRNA from 1 species